rnacentral:rRNA from 1 species
GGGGAGUACUAUUUAUGAAAACCCAUGCUCUUUGGCGGCCUUUCUUCUCAUCAGAGGAACUCGUAUCUUAAUCCGAUAAUCCGCGUUAACUUUCACUUUUUUUAAAAGUCUUUAUAUCGCUGUCUUUAGAUAAAAAUUUAAAUUUCUAUCUUCUUAAGUUUCUUUUCACGUCAAGUCGAGAUAAAGCCUAUAAACAAGGGAGCCGAGUUACAAAUAUUUUUAAUUAAGUUUCUUCAUUCAAAAAUCUUCUAAAUUUAGGAUUUGACAGUAAUAAACUAAUACUCUUUUUUUAUGAAAUAGAACUUUAGGUGU